UUUAUGAAAAAUUAUACAUUAGUAAAAAAAAAAUAUCUCUUUAUAAAUCGUUUCCAUGAUUUCAUUUUAGAACAGAAGUUUGAUAGUUUGAAAAUGGAUCCUUUUCUUCUUCGUUUAUCUGUAAAUUAUAUAAAAAUCUUAAACAGAAUAAUAGAAGAAUGAAAUGAUUAAUUUCUAUUUUGAGUUUCAAUGUAAUUUCGAGAACAAAUUCAUCUUUAGUAUUAUUACAAAUGUAUAAAAUUCUCUUUUGCGCAUUGGAUGCUCUUGAUUUUAUGGUCCGACGAUGCCACAACUUUGCGAAUGUUGCAGCUUUUAGACACUUUGCGCGUUAUUAACGGUUUGCCGCGAAUCACGAACCGUGCUAUAUUUGUAUAUACAUCGAGUACCGCCUCUAACGGUAAACGGCCGAGCAAAUUCUAGGGUGGGCGAUAAUUAAACACUGUAGCUAUAUAUUGUCGGAUCAACCGCGUUUUCCUCCACCCUGUGCACGUUGGAUUAUCAACUAAUAACUAAGAUCCAUUGCGAUAUCCUCUACCGCCUUCGGCCAUCUUUGAAAUUCAUAUCUAGUCUAAUCGAAUUACGUUCUCUGCCAAUUUCCAUGUCAGAUUUCUAAUGAAUUUGUUUUUAGAAUAUCUACCAUCUUAAUUCUAUCGAUUAAUGUACGAUUACGAUAUAAAACGAGUGUGAAUAACGAGAUAUUGAUAGUUAAUAAGUCGAAAAGCUUUCUCGAGAAUUUCGAGUAAUCGAUAUUUUCAACGAUAUUCGAUAUGCCAUUGAAUCUUCGCGGGGUAGAUCAUAUGUCCGCGAAUACAUAUUGGCGCUCGCGUCGACGUAUAAAUUAUUCAUACAGUUUGUGAAGCGAAUCUUUCAUUCGACUUUAAUUUAUAAUAUAACGGCUGAUUGUUGUACCGUUGCUCCAUCGAAUAUUAGUUAAAAGAAACUGUUUAAAGUGAUAGGUUAUGGUACGAAUGAUGAUAAUUUGGAAGCAUAUUUAAUAUAUUUGGAAUAUUAUUUUUAAUUAAAAUCAUCCUGCGGAGAGUUCUCACGAAAAUAAAGAUAAAAGGAUAUUCUGGACCAUCAUAUUAUCAAGAGAUAUAUUUGUGUCUUCACAAUGUGAUUUCCGCAUUUCUGUUUAUGGAAGGAAGGUUUUAUCUGGUUGAAUCGUCCUCACGAUUCCGACGGACGCAGCGCGUGCGAUGCAUUUUUAAGAUUGAAAAGAUGUUCCCAUUACAAAAACGAUCAAAAUAGCGAUUAAUUGAAAAAAAAAGAAUAUUAAUUGCUAACAUUUUCUUUUGAGAAUGUAAUUUAUUUCGCAUUACAUUACAAAAUAUCAAAAGGAUUAAAAUUAACAUAAAAAAGUAUAAAUAUUUUUAAUGAAAAAUAUAUAUAAUUUCUGAAUAUUCAACUAAAUAGACAAUUCAUUUUAAAAGAAGAAGAUCCAUUUUCUAUUUAAUUGGCUAAUUGAACUGGGCUAGAAAGGUUAAUACUCAACUAUAUAAACAUUAGAUAAGCGAAUCGAGAUCAAAAAGCAAAAAAAGAGGCGAAACUAAGCCGAGGAUACGAUGAAACUGCGUUUAGCCACGACAUCGAAAGAAGCGGGAGCAGCAGCAUUCCGCAGGGCAUAACUUAAGCGAGCCCUGAGCUCACGAAGGGAAGAGACGGGUCACGACGCCAUGUGUGCGGCCUACCAACCACACCCACCACCUAUUUAUUUAUGUCUACCUCACGGCUUUUUGUUCGUACCUUCGAGCUUUCAUUGCACCGUGAACAACAUGAACAAUCGAGGAGAGCCGCCUGCUCUACUGGAAAAAUCUUCUUCCCGAAGGAAUCGUCCUUCGAGCAAGCCCGUUUCGAGUUAUUUGUAAAACAUUGCUCGCAAAGAACGCUCUUGCUAUCUUGAAAAAUAGAAUAUUACGAUGAAUAAUAUGGAUAUCAGGCGCUGGUAUAAAAUCGAUCUUCCGUUUCCGGCGAAGACACGGAGGCCGUUGCCAUGAUUUUUCCCUUGAGGAGCAUGGUUGGCCGGGGUCAGGUUCUAUCGAAGGCUCCAGUUGAACGUUUUCUAAGGCCGUGUGCAACGCCGUUCAUGACUUAACACGGUGCUUGGGUUCGGCUGUGCUUUGGCGGUUCAGGCCUACUCGGGACAAUGCCGCAUUGUUUCAUCGUCGUAGCUAUCUAGUCGGCACGGUAGCGGUCCCGAACGAUGUUUAUUAUCCUCUUGCGCAACAAAACAAAAUGCCCCCGGUGUUAUAUUAUCCUCUGGUUCGUGGUCGAAUCAGUUUCCCAUAUAAAAUCCACGUAAAACGCCGCGGACUCCAUCGUAACUUCGAUCCAGCCACGACGAGAGAGGUUGUUCCGCGCCAUCGGGGUGUCCUUGGUGCCAUCGAGCAUUUGCAGGAUUACUUGGAAAAUCCGGAUGGCCUGUGGAUAGAUCGUCCACUGCAGAUCUGAAAAAUAAGUUAAAAUAUAUAUUAGAGAAAUUAAAUAUUUGCACAAAAAAAUAUUAUUUGAAGAUCCUAUUUGUAUUAAUGGAUACUACAUGAAGAAGUUUUGUGAGGAUGAAAAGUCUGCCAUCGAGCAUUUGCAGGAUUACUUGGAAAAUCCGGAUAGAUUGUCCACUCAAGUUCUGUGGAUAGAUUGUCCUGCAGAUCCAUUGCAGAUCUGAAAAAUAAGUUAAAAUAUAUAUUAGAGAAAUUAAAUAUUUCCACAAGAAAAUAUUAUUUGAAGAUCCUAUUUGUAUUAAUGGAUGCUACAUGAAGAAGUUUUGUGAGGAUGAAAGGUCUGUCUUUUGAAAAUUAUUUAAUGUGGAGUUGAGGAAAAUGUUAAAAAAUUGAAUUAUUUUUAUGAAUAAGUAUAUAAAUAUAUUA